rnacentral:rRNA from 1 species
UACGGGGGGGGCGAGCGUUGUUCGGAAUUACUGGGCGUAAAGGGUUUGUAGGUGGUCUGCUAAGUCAGACGUGAAAUCCCUCAGCUUAACUGGGGAACUGCGUCUGAUACUGGCGGACUUGAGGACAGGAGAGGAACGCGGAAUUCCAGGUGUAGCGGUGAAAUGCGUAGAUAUCCGGAGGAACACCAGUGGCGAAAGCGGCCACCUGGACUGCACCUGACGCUGACACGCGAAAGCUAGGGGAGCGAACGGG